rnacentral:rRNA from 1 species
ACGAGGAAAAAAACCCACAGGGAUUCCCUUAGUAGCGGCGAGUGAAGCGCCAAAGCUCAAAUUUGAAAUCUGGCUCUUUCAGAGUCCGAGUUGUAAUUUGAAGAAGGUAUCUUUGGGUGUGGCUCUUGUAUAUGUUUCGUGGCACAGAACGUCACAGAGGGUGAAUAUCCCGUGCGAUGAGAUGAUCCAGGCCUAUGUAAAGUUCCUUCGAAGAGUCGAGUUGUUUGGGAAUGCAGCUCUAAGUGGGUGGUAAAUUCCAUCUAAAGCUAAAUAUUGGCGAGAGACCGAUAGCGAACAAGUACAGUGAUGGAAAGAUGAAAAGAACUUUGAAAAGAGAGUGAAAAAGUACGUGAAAUUGUUGAAAGGGAAGGGCUUGAGAUCAGACUUGGUAUUUUGUAUGUUACUUCUUCGGGGGUGGCCUCUACAGUUUAUCGGGCCAGCAUCAGUUUGGGCGGUAGGAGAAUUGCGUUGGAAUGUGGCACGGCUUCGGUUGUGUGUUAUAGCCUUCGUCGAUACUGCCAGCCUAGACUGAGGACUGCGGUUUAUACCUAGGAUGUUGGCAUAAU